AUUGAACGCUGGCGGCAGGCCUAACACAUGCAAGUCGAGCGAGCGGCGGACGGGUGAGUAAUGUAUGUGGAAUGCCCGCUGGAGGGGGAUAACUACUGGAAACGGUGGCUAAUACCGCAUACUAUCGGAUAACCCAUAUGGGAUUAGCUAGUAGGUGGGGUAAAGGCUCACCUAGGCGACGAUCUCUAGCUGGUCUGAGAGGAUGAUCAGCCAAACUGGAACUGAGACACGGCCCAGACUCCUACGGAGGCAGCAGUGGGGAAUAUUGCACAAUGGGGGAAAGCCUGAUGCAGCCAUGCCGCGUGUAUGAAGAAGGCCUUAGGGUUGUAAAGUACUUUCAGCGAGGAGGCGUUACCCGCAGAAGAAGCACCGGCUAACUCCGUGCCAGCAGCCGCGGUAAUUC
rnacentral:rRNA from 1 species